GCCAGCAGCAUACCACCCUGCAUCCCACUGCUAGCUUGUUUCUGAAGCUAAGCAGGGUUGGUCCUGGAUGGGAGACCAGAUGCUGCUAGAA
rnacentral:rRNA from 1 species